AACGCGAAGAACCUUACCUACCCUUGACAUCCUUCGAAUCUUACUGAGAGGUAGGAGUGCCGAAAGGAGCGAAGAGACAGGUGCUGCAUGGCUGUCGUCAGCUCGUGUCGUGAGAUGUUGGGUUAAGUCCCGUAACGAGCGCAACCCUUGUCCUUAGUUGCCAUCAUUAAGUUGGGAACUCUAAGGAGACUGCCGGUGAUAAACCGGAGGAAGGUGGGGAUGAGGUCAAGUCAUCAUGGCCUUUAUGGGUAGGGCUACACACGUGCUACAAUGGUCGGUACAAAGGGAAGCGAAGUCGUGAGGCGGAGCGAAACUCAGAAAACCGAUCUUAGUCCGGAUUGGAGUCUGCAACUCGACUCCAUGAAGCUGGAAUCGCUAGUAAUCGCGGAUCAGAACGCCGCGGUGAAUACGUUCCCGGGCCUUGUACACACCGUAGUAC
rnacentral:rRNA from 1 species